rnacentral:lncRNA from 1 species
ACAUCAGUGGAUAUCAAUGCUUUAAUUUUCAUUGGGUUAGAUGGUGCCCACACCAUGAGACAAUGUGGGUUUAACAUUGAGUCUGUGGCAAAGACUUGUGAGAAGCUCUGGACAGUGAUUUGAGGCAUAACUGUUGGUCUGUGGGCCAGUGAAUCAAAGGAAGAAGAUAUUUUUUUUUAAAAAAAAUCAGCAGUCUGAAAUCUGUUACAAGCAAGAAGCAAUAUUGGUAAGGCAUGGAGGCAUGGAGGCAUGGAAAUGGUAUGGGUCUAGGUUUGCUUGAAAGGUGCUGGCCCAAGCAUUCCGCUACACUGUAGCCCCCUCUUGCCUGGCUACGACCCCCAUACCAGAGAUGUUUUGGGCAUCUGGUGCCCUGACCUGGGCACUUCACAUACCCCAUUGCCUGUUUAUUUAUAGCCACAAAUUGGAUUUAAGACUAGGUGAUCUUCAAACAGCUGUCAGAAUGGAUUUAUGAAGCUGAGGUCAAUAAUCUUAAUCCUAAAUCAAUAGUGUAACUCUGAUCCAGGCAGAGUAUUUUAGUAUGAUUAGGGCAUUUGUAUAACACCUCCACAUAGAUUAUUUCAUCUUUAUUUAAUAAUCUAAUAAGGAAUUAAAAAUAAAUAAAAUCUCAGGCCCAAAGAAUUUCAUAGACUUUCUCAGAGUCACAAAUCAAUGUGACAAAUCAAGAAUAGAAACACAGCUACUCUUCAGACUCUAUAUUGAAUCUCAAUAUAGUUUUAAUUUGCAUUUCUCUAAGUGCUAGAGAUGUUGAACUUUUUAAAUAUAUUUGUUGAGCAUUCAUAUUUCUUCUUCUGUGAAGUGUCUGUUUAGUUCCUUUGCCAAUUUAUUGAUUGUUUUUUAUGUUAAGUUUUUGAAUUCAUUAUAUAUCUUGGAAAUUAAUGCUGUAUCUGAAGUACAGUUGGCAAAGAUUUUUCUUUCAUUCUGUAGGCUCUCUCUUCAUGCUAUUGAAAAAUAUUUAAAAAAUAGAAACUACUGAUAAAAUUUUAAAAAGACUCCAUAUGGACUAUUUGCUGACUGAGAAGCUCUGUCAAUAUUUAAGCUAAGCUACCAUAAUUAAAAUGUCUCCAAAUAUGGGAGGUCAAAAGGAGAGAUAUUUCUUUAUCACACUACAUUUCACCGAUAUGGGUUACUUCACAGUUGAAAAGUACUC